UCAGUAUCUAAGCAAAGGCAAGAAGGAAGUUGUCCCUUUCAUUAUUCUUCCUGCUCUCUGCCCUGAGCCUCUAUGUGAUCCCAGGAUGAGGACACCAGUGGAAGAAUCGCUGGGGUGGGGAUAUUCCCUGUGGCCACCCCUGAGAUUACACUGGGCUCCAGACACUAGCUUGGAAGUGAGAUGACAGAAACAAUGACCCAGCCAAUAAUGUUAUCACAAAGCUGGGGUUUUCAGCAGGGCGCCAGGUGGCCUAAGGAUCUGAUUGCACUUGGCCAAACGCUCGGCUCGGCAAGGGCACCAGUCUUGAUCUGCCCAGUACAGAGCCCCACCACCAGUUCGGCGAUGAAAGUGUCCUCCCUCUCCCCAGAUCAAUGGGACACCAUGACAUCCCAGCCAUUGGACUGAGCCAGCUUACAAGCCUGCAGAGACUCGAUCACAGAGCCAAUCUGGUUGGCUUUGAGCAGGAGGCAGUUGCAGGACUUCUCACUGACAGCCUUGGCAAUCCUCUUAAGGUUGAUUACUGUGAGAUCAUCCCUAACCACCUGGAUGCCAUCACUAGCUGUGAACUUCUGCCAGGUCUCCCAGUCGUCCUCGAUGGACACCACUAGAUACUCCCAGAUGAAGGACUUAUACAGGUCAGCCAGCUGGUCGGGUGUGAUGUACCUGCUGGGGUCAUCAGGAGACUUGAAGCCCAGGUCAUACUUACCAGACCUGAAGAACUCAGAGGCAGCCAUGUCCAUGUCAAUGACAACCUGGUCCGUGUAGCCCACCUUCCCAGUUGUGUUCUUCAGAAGCUCCAGAGCUUCUUUGUUUUCCAGGAUGUUGGGCGCAAACCCGCCCUCAUCACCCACAUUGGUGGCAUCCUUCCCUUAUUUCUCCUUGAUGACAUUCUUCAGGUUGUGGUAAACCUCUGUCCCAAUAAGCACGGCUUCGAAGAAGCUGGAAGCCCCCACGGGAAGGAUCAUGAACUCCUGCAAGGCCAGCUUGUUGCCAGCGUGGGAACCGCCAUUUAUCACGUUGAAAGCGAGGACUGGAAGAAUGACUUCAGAGUUGCCAGCCAAGUCAGCGAUAUGACGUAAUGUACUUCAACUCCAGGCUCCACAAGCUGUGCUGAAACCCAGC
rnacentral:lncRNA from 1 species